CCGAAAUAAAAUGAAAUAUAUUAAAUUUAAACUGCAUUCUGGCAAAAAUUCCAGUCAGCAUAAUUUUCUAAAUUAUGUCGAGCAUUUACAGUAGUUCAGAAAGUUAGAGAUCGAAACGAAGGGGGAAAAUUAAUAAACUAAUAUAAAAAAUAAACAUUAAUUAUUAGGCUAAUUAUAAUAAUAAUAAUACAAUACAUGCAAAAACAGUUAUCCACCUUUUUCCUGAUGUAAAAAUGGGUGCCGCCAUUUGUAAAUUAUAUGGGUAAAGCUUCCGGUCUCAUUUGCGUCCAGCUAUUUUUAGCUGUACAAAACACGGCUAUUAACGAAACGGAAGUCUCACAAAUAGGCUUACUUCCGCGUUGAGGAAAAGUUGGAUAUUUAUGUUUUUAGCGACACCGGUGGCAGUUAAAAGGUUCACCCAAAAAUGAAGACGCAAUCAUCCAACCAUCAGGGAUUUUGUGAGGACAAAAGAUUUCCCAAUGCAUUGAUCCUGCUCUGAAAGUGACUUCUGUGAGCUGUACAUCAUACAUUUGCAGUAUUGAUAGUGAUUAAGGCUA